CAAGCCACCCAGUCUGCGGUAUCCUGUUAUGAUGCCAGUCCGAGCUGACUAACACGCCCGGAUUCAAAAAGGAAACAGAUCAAGAAAAACCCAGAGAGAAGUGCCAGGCUGGGUACUGAACACAAUUUCCUGAUGUUGAAAAUAAAGGGCUUAACGAAGACUACUAAAAUAGAACCAAAGGCUUCCUGGAUAUCCAAUGGCUGCCACCAAAAGGUAUUCCGGUGAUUUAAAAGUCCCAGCCAACCAGUGUGAAUUGCGAUGGCUGGAGCUGCGGCAGCUGUCUUGGACCAGGAGGACAGGUGGAGGAUGGAAGCUAUGUCCCUGCAUGGUGGAACAGAAAAACUGAAGUCUGGGUCCCUGAUUACACCACAGAAUC